UACGGGGGGGUGCGAGCGUUGUCCGGAAUCACUGGGCGUAAAGCGUGCGCAGGCGGUGAUGUAAGACAGGUGUGAAAUCCCCGGGCUUAACCUGGGAACUGCAUUUGUGACUGCAUCGCUGGAGUGCGGCAGAGGGGGGAUGGAAUUCCGCGUGUAGCAGUGAAAUGCGUAGAUAUCGUAAGGAAGACCAGUGGCGAAGGCGGGUCUCUGGACAGUUCCUGACGCUGAGGCACGAAGGCCAGGGGGAGCAAACGGG
rnacentral:rRNA from 1 species